GACGAAGGGGGCUAGCGUUGUUCGGAAUUACUGGGCGUAAAGCGCGCGUAGGCGGUCUUUCAAGUCAGGAGUGAAAUCCCCGGGCUCAACCUGGGAAUGGCAGUGGAUACUGGCAAGCUAGAGUGUGUCAGAGGAUGGUGGAAUUCCCGGUGUAGCGGUGAAAUGCGUAGAGAUCGGGAGGAACACCAAUGGCGAAGGCAGCUCGCUGGGACGGUACUGACGCUGAGACGCGAAAGCGUGGGGAGCAAACAGG
rnacentral:rRNA from 1 species